AAGUUCAGUGCUCCAAAAUGGCCAAUGCUGGCAUUUCUAGACACACAAUGUCCAGAUAAGCCUUCUUUCCUCAUUGUAGCAUAAGUUUUUAAUUUUUUUUAAUUUUAGCACUCAACUUCUACUCUGGAAUUAAGGAAGUUCAUUUUAUUUUCUAGCUCUAGUUUGUUGGUGUAGAAUGGUAUUGUUUAUUGGCUUUCUAAAUAUUUAGUAAGCUAAACUAUCAGCUAACUGAUCUUUCUUUAGUUAUGUAUUUUACCAAGUAGUGAAGUUUCAUUACCAUUGGAAUCUAGUAAUUUUGCUUCAGGGUUUAAUAUGUUUUUGAUUCCUUGUUUUGGGAGCUUUGGUCGGUAUGUUGGAUUUAUUCAUUUUCUUUAAUAUUUCAAAUGGGAUAAAGGGAUAAAAUUUUCCUUGGCUUCAGAUAAGCUGAUUUUAUAAAAUAGAGAAUGGAAUCCCAGUUUCUAGUAUUGAGAUGUUUGAAAUAUUUUGAAAAUUUAUUAGCUGGGUGCCAUUGUUUUACUCAAGAAAAAACUAAUAGGAUUAUCUGUGGACCAUAAUAAUAUAGAAAUAACUACCAGGAUUAUCUGUGGGCUGUAUUGAUACAGAGAAGCUACAAUCAUUGAAGUUGACAAGUUUGAUGAGGUUGACAUGGAUGAUUAGAAAUGGGAUCUAGUAACAUUUUAGAUUGUUUUCAUCACCAUUUCCAUUUCGUGUGACUAAUGCUGUUAAUCCAUGUGUUUCUUGUGUAUACCGCUCCUUUACGAGUUCUUUUAAUCUGUGUGUUUCUUGUUUAUACCAUUCAUAUUCUUUCUUUUUUGUGAUUGUUCAUUUCUAUCAAUGUUUUAUUUUGUCUUUUUUUCUUCCUCUCUGUUUGUUCAUUUUUUUUCCUAUUUGUUUUGUUUUUAUUUUUCAUAUUUAUUGUGUACAGCGUGCACGCUGGUCUAUCUGUUCAUCAUAUUCAUCUUCUAUUUGUUCUACUUUUUUUGUUUUGGUGUUACGUUUUUGUGGCAAUCCAUAGGAAGAGGCAGAAAAAAGGAAGAGGCAGAGCUACUGAGAGCAACUUCAAACUGGCAUGAUAAAAUUUGUAAAUCUUCAGGUAAUUCUUCAUAGACAAGAAAGAGCUCAUUAUUAGUUUUGCAAAUCCAAUCAAUUCAAACUGGCAUGAUAAAAUUUGUAAAGAACUCUCAUUUUGAUUUGAAAUCAUUUAAUCUUUGUAGUUUUCAUCCUCUUAAUAGCAACUUCCUGUUUCCCUUCUUCCUCACUUUUUCUCGCCACUCGGACCAUUUUCAUCCUUAAUUUCAUUAUAUGUAGACAUCGAAUAAUAUUCGCUUGAUACCCACUUUUCAUCCCUCCUGUCAUAAAAUUUAAACCAAAUAAUGCAAUAGCCAAUAUCUAUCUCAGACUCACCCACCAAGAGGUCAAAGUUGUGAAUGCCAAGUUUUUCGCUGGCAUAAAUAACAAUGAUGUUUGGCUGAUCGAUGGUAUGUUGCAGCCUUUUGUAAAUCUAAAUAGUCUUGAGACCACAUUCUAUCAAAUGGUUUUAUACACCCUUAGUAUUAUUACCUUUUGCCCUUGAAGCUAUAAACACUAAGCCCUACUUAUUUACCCUUAGUGUUAUUACCCUUGAAGCUUUUGCUAUUGCUUGCAUUAUGAUGAUAGUGAUGGGCAUGACAUGUUUCAUUUUGGAGACAAUUAAUGCUUUAAUGUAAUACUCAUUAGUUUAUUUUUGUCCCUUAGGAAUAUAGAUUUGUAGAUAAAACAUUUCAGAUUUGGACGACUGGUUUUUCUCUUUAUCUUUCAAUUUUCACAAUGUGUUUUGAUAUCUUUGGGAAUGAAUGUUUGGAUUUGUUUUCACUCAUGAUUAUUUUUAGGUAAAUUUAGGCUUAUGAUUUUCUUUUCUCCUUUUAAAUAAUUUUGGCUUGAGUAAAGGACUCGUAAAGUUAGAUUCCAAUGUAGGCACGAGAAGCUGGACCCAGCAAGAGUUCAUCUAACUUAUGCAGAGAAGAAGACAUGUGAAGUUCCUUAUGACCUGCUUAGUAGAUCACAAGUAGCUGCUUUGAGGCAAUGAGUAGAUCUCAUAGCUAACCUAGUGUUUGAAUUCUCUGCGUUCUUAGGCAAUGAGUGAAUCUUCUCCAGCAUAGCUAAUCCAUUGGGAUUUUCUAUCAAGCACAAAUCCCAUGGAGAGGUCCUAUUCAACUCCUCCUCAGAUGGCAACUUGGUUUUUAGUAUCUGUUACUUCUGUAUGAAUUUAUGCUCAAUGGUUUCCUCUGUGAUUUGAUUUUUGUUGGGUGAGCAUUUACAAAAUUGCAACAGGACUGUAAUUUUGUGGUUGUGCAUGGAGAUGUGAAGCCAACCAAUGUACUAAUGGACGGUCACAUGGAUGCCCAGAUGGUUGAUUGUGGCUUAGCCAGACUCAUGCAGAGGGAAGUCACCAUGUGCUCCAUUGCAUACACUACACCGGGUAUUUGUAGCAGGCAUAUGUAGCAAGCUUGCUAUUGUAAUAUUAAGAUGAAGAUGAAAAACAGGGGGAAAAUUCUUCUGUUUGUGAUGUGUAUCACACUUAUUCCCAUUAAGGGCAGCCCAUUAAACAAUGUGAAUACGAGGGAAAUCACUGCAAUACCUCAACACAAUUAAUUUUAGUUGGACUUUUGCUGCUGAAGAUCCACCACCUCUCCCACAAAUUACUGGGCAACACCCACUGAUCCCAAUCCUCAGACUGAAGUCUGUACCUGCAUACAGCAACAAUGCCUUAUUGGGCUUCUGAUUGAAGUCUGUACCUGCAUACAGCAACAAUGCCUUAUUGGGCUUCUGCGAGACCAGAAACAUCAGGAGCUUGCUCACCUCUUUGAUAAGCCAUGCUUUUGGGAAUUGCUAGUUGUUCAGGCUCCCCAAGUCCCCAAUCAACAGAUAAAUGUUAUGGUGGAGGAGAGCACGAUGACCAUUUCUAGACACAUAUUGUUCAGAUAAGACAGAGCCUCCUUAUCCUCAUUGUAUAGAAAACACUGUUCCAGGUAAUCCUUGGAUCUUGUCUUUAGCAUCCUUGAAUGGUUGGAGGAUAACCCAAAUAUAGUAAUUAAACAUAAGGAUUGCAUCAAUGGCUCCGAUACAUUUGUUGAUAUUCAACAGGACGAGGAGGAGAUUGGAAGAGGAUGGAUACCAAAGUUGCAGACCUACGACUUCGAGAGCAAACUUAUGCCAGCCAUAUACCCCCAG